rnacentral:tRNA from 1 species
UAAACUUUAAGUUAAAUAAAACUAAAGGUCUUCAAAACCUUCAAUAAGAUAUUCUUAAGUUUAA